rnacentral:lncRNA from 1 species
AGGAAGUUGAGUUGGUAGAGGCGGAGGAGGUGGUGGUGGCGAUGGAGAUGUUGGAGGUGGAGGUGGGGAUGGAGAAGCUGGCAAAGGGGGUGGGGGUGGAGGAGAAUCAGGGGGCAAAGGCGGUGAACCCUCUGGUAGAGGAGGAAAUUCAUUGGAGCUAUUUGAAGCUGGUUCCAUAAUCCCCUGCUGCUGCCAGUCCAUUUGAAGAGCAUAAUUUGUGAAUGGCCGGUCAUUCUUCAGAUGUCCAGAA